rnacentral:rRNA from 1 species
GAUGAGCGCUGGCGGCGUGCCUAAUACAUGCAAGUCGAGCGAACGGACGAGAAGCUUGCUUCUCUGAUGUUAGCGGCGGACGGGUGAGUAACACGUGGAUAACCUACCUAUAAGACUGGGAUAACUUCGGGAAACCGGAGCUAAUACCGGAUAAUAUUUUGAACCGCAUGGUUCAAAAGUGAAAGACGGUCUUGCUGUCACUUAUAGAUGGAUCCGCGCUGCAUUAGCUAGUUGGUAAGGUAACGGCUUACCAAGGCAACGAUGCAUAGCCGACCUGAGAGGGUGAUCGGCCCCACUGGAACUGAGACACGGUCCAGACUCCUACGAGAGGCCGCAGUAGGGAAUCUUCCGCAAUGGGCGAAAGCCUGACGGAGCAACGCCGCGUGCGUGAUGAAGGUCUUCGGAUCGUAAAACUCUGUUAUUAGGGAAGAACAUAUGUGUAAGUAACUGUGCACAUCUUGACGGUACCUAAUCAGAAAGCCACGGCUAACUACGUG